GUUAAAAAGCUCGUAGUUGGAUUUCUGCGGGGGCGGGGCGGCCGGUUGCUUAUAGCAACUCGAGCUAGCACUUCCCCUGCAUCCUGCCGCGAACCGUGCUACCAUUAGUUUGGUGGCGCUGGGGAUCGGCUCGUUUACUUUGAGAAAAAUAGAGUGUUCAAAGCAGGCCACACGCCUUGAAUAAGUUAGCAUGGAAUAAUGAUAAAGGACUUCGGUUCUAUUUUGUUGGUGUUCGGGACUGAAGUAAUGAUUGAUAGGGACAGUUGGGGCGGUCCGUAUUCCAAAGCGAGAGGUGAAAUUCUUAGACCUUCGGAAGACGAACAGCUGCGAAAGCGUUCCGCAAGGAUGUUCCCUUUGAUCAAGAACGAAAGUUGGGGGAUCGAAGACGAUCAGAUACCGUCGUAGUCUCAACUAUAAACUAUACCAGCUAGGGAUCGGCCAACGUUUAAUUACACCGACUUGGUCGGCACCUUAUGAGAAAUCAAAGCAUCUGGGUUCCGGGGGGAGUAUGGUCGCAAGGCUGAAACUUAAAGGAAUUGACGGAAGGGCACCACCAGCCGUGGAACCUGCGGCUUAAUUUGACUCAACACCGGAAAA
rnacentral:rRNA from 1 species